GGGAUAUUUUACUGUUUGAACAGUUUAACCCAAAACAUGGAUAUCCUACCAAAUCAUACAAUUUAUAUCAAUAAUAUGAAUGACAAAAUUAAAAAAGAAGAAUUGAAGAGAUCCCUGUAUGCCCUGUGUUCUCAGUUUGGCCAUGUGGUAGAUAUUGUGGCUUUAAAGACCAUGAAGAGGAGGGCACAAGCCUUUGUUAUAUUUAAAGAACUGGGCUCAUCCACAAAUGCCUUGAGGCAGUUGCAGGGAUUUCCAUUUUAUGGCAAGCCAAUGCGAAUCCACUAUGCAAAAACAGAUUCUGAUAUAAUAUCCAAAAUGCGUGGCGCUUUUGCUGACAAAGAAAAGAAGAAAGAAAAGAAAAAAGCCAAAACUGUGGAACAAGCAGCAAUGAUUGCAAAUAAAAAGCCUGGUCAGGGAACACCAAAUUCCGCUAAUACCCAAGGAAAUGCAACACCAAAUCCUCAGGUCCCUAAUUACCCUCCAAACUAUAUUUUAUUCCUUAAUAAUUUACCAGAAGAGACUAAUGAGAUGAUGUUAUCCGUGCUGUUUAAUCAAUUCACUGGUUUUAAAGAAGUACGUUUGGUACCUGGGAGGCAUGGCAUUGCAUUUGUUGAAUUUGAAAAUGAUGGACAGGCUGGAGCUGCCAGGGAUGCUUUACAAGGAUUUAAGAUCACACCAUCCCAUGCCAUGAAGAUCACCUACACCAAGAAAUAACAUUUGGGAUAGUUGUCUUUAAAGGACUUGGUGUUAUUUAUAGUGUUUGUUUUGAUAAUAUUUCGUCAAGUCAUUUUAAUAGUUGAGGGUGAGGGGAAGUAAAAGUGAAAUUUUUGUUCAGGUUUUAAAAAAUUGCCUAGUCUUCCUUUAGCCUUAGUGAACUAUAAAAUAUGAAGGCCUUAAUUUUGUACAAUAAACUUUUAUUUGUAUU